AUUGAACGCUGGCGGCAGGCCUAACACAUGCAAGUCGAGCGCGAAAGUUCUUCGGAAUGAGUAAAGCGGCGGACGGGUGAGUAAUACAUGGGAAUCUGCCUGGUAGUGGGGGACAACGUUUCGAAAGGAACGCUAAUACCGCAUGCGCCCUACGGGGGAAAGGGGGGGAUCGCAAGACCUCUCGCUAUCAGAUGAGCCCA
rnacentral:rRNA from 1 species